rnacentral:rRNA from 1 species
UACGGAGGGAGCUAGCGUUGUUCGGAAUUACUGGGCGUAAAGCGCGCGUAGGCGGCUUUGUAAGUUAGAGGUGAAAGCCCGGGGCUCAACCCCGGAACUGCCUUUAAGACUGCAUCGCUUGAAUCCAGGAGAGGUGAGUGGAAUUCCGAGUGUAGAGGUGAAAUUCGUAGAUAUUCGGAAGAACACCAGUGGCGAAGGCGGCUCACUGGACUGGUAUUGACGCUGAAACGCGAAAGCGUGGGGAGCAAACAGG